CCCCCUUAACUGCCGAAUCGGAAGCUAACUUCAGCGUCGUGAACUUUUCUCUAUUAAUAACUGAAGUCAGCUUUAAAAGAUUUUUUACUCACGACAUUAGGCUACAAUUUGGAGGCUGCUUAACUUUAUUUUACUCCAUUUCAGGGGAAAUGCUGUUUAAUAUAUUUAUUAUGCCACUUUAGUUGGAAGUUACUUUACAGACCCAGCAGCAACUUUAGCCUAUUAUAAAGCAGAUUAACUUAGCCCCACCUUCACUUGGACCAUUAAAAUGAUACUUAAGCAUUAAUGCAUCAAUAAUGUUUAUCUAAUAUUUAGAUUAUAUGAUGCACAAUACACUACAUAUUGUCGUGUUCUGACCUUGAAAUGAGCUAACGUUAGGCUAACUCAGCCUAGCGUUACUUCUUCUGGAUGUGCGUGGGUGGAAAUCACUUCACACGAAAAGGAAUAUCCGUUUAUGAACUUUACUGAACUUCAGCAGGCGGAGGUAGAAGAAGAGUCCCAGACUGACCUGUCCAAUGACGUCGCGGCUCCUGAAUGAGGCAGAGUUAUUCUUCACUGAUACACUGAGGCAUCUGAAUCUCGUCUCAGCCACAGGCAGAUCAUACUCAAACCUUAAAGACGUGGACAAAGAUGAUUAAACAUGAGCACUAACACUAACAAACCUGCACAGGAAUUGGCCUUGCUUUUGUCUGGCAGCAGCAUGAGGGAGACAUAGCUGUCUACACCAUCCUUGCUAUGAGACAAUAGACCUCUGAAGCAGACCUGCAGGCAUGGACGAUGACGAUGAGCUGUCUCUUCUGCGAGGCAUAGGAAAGAGACAACUUCACCUGUCCAUUUCCAGAGGCCGCACAGGGCAGAGUGCCUGUACUGAUCAUAUCUACCAUUUUGGAAUCUAGAAUCUAUUGAAAAGAAAUACAGAAAAGGAUAAAGUAUCAAUAUUUAUAACAAAAUACUUGUGUGUGUGAUGAGGCAGAUGUGUUUGCUUUCUCACCUUGAGUUCAGCCCUCAGCAGGAUCUGACUCUCAGUUGAGGCUCCAUCCAGAUAGAACCACUGGUCCAGGACCAGCUGUGGCUGAGCGAGCAGCUCCUUGACAGGAACCACCAGAGAUCCCAUUGGCUGGUCCCAACCACUGGACAACUGCAGUACGAGCGAGCGAGCGAGAGUGCGAGAGAGAGUGCGAGAGAGAGUGCGAGAGAGAGAGAGAGAGAGAGAUGAAAAUUCACUACAACACGACUGCUGUUAAAAGUGAGAUGCAGAUCUUUCAAACAAAUGAAUGUCUUGCCUUUACUACAAGCAUCUGUUGCUUAGGGUCAUGGACCAGAAAGUAGAAAGACUCCUUCCACUGAGGACUGGUACUCCGCUCACACAGCUUCAGAGAGAUAAGAUAUGCGUUAUUACUAUAAUAAUAUAUUUAUCAAAAUGGCAAUAGAGCACCGUGCAUCAAGUGUCUCACUUUGGUUUUGUAGGUUGUUUCACCCAGAACUAGCUCAGCUCCUGCUUUGGGUUCCUUUCCACUCUUCUUAAACUAUCAAGGAAUAGAAAAGUAUUCAAGGUAUAUUACAGUAGGAAUUACCUUUGUUAACUACAGCACAGAAUGUAAAUA